GGAUGUGAGAGCAAUCGGGAUGUGACAUCUGUCAUCUCACUGACUGUCAGGGUUGAGUCAGCUAAUCUGGCUGACUAGAUGGUGUCCCCCUCCUCCCUUUCUGUACAUGUGCAAACCUCUACUUGAAGCUUCGAGGUCAGUCAAAGAAAGCAAACUUUCCCAAUUAAGGAGGACAAUUUAUUUGGUCAACUAAAUGUGAGUAUAUGAGCUCUCCUACUAGAAUCUCCAAUAAACUCUCAAGAAGUAAUGGAUCCAUUAAGUUACGGGAUGCAGUAAGAGGCAGUCCUUUCC
rnacentral:snRNA from 1 species